rnacentral:rRNA from 1 species
GACGAACCGUGCGAACGUUGUUCGGAAUCACUGGGCUUAAAGGGCGCGUAGGCGGGCUCGCAAGUCUGGGGUGAAAUCCCGCGGCUCAACCGUGGAACUGCCUCAGAUACUGACGGUCUCGAGGGAGGUAGGGGCAUGCGGAACUGUAGGUGGAGCGGUGAAAUGCGUUGAUAUCUACAGGAACUCCGGUGGCGAAAGCGGCGUGCUGGACCUCAUCUGACGCUGAGGCGCGAAAGCUAGGGGAGCAAACGGG